UAUUUAGUUGUUUUUUUUUCCCUGAUCCCAUGGUCUUUCCCCCCCCCCCCCAAGCCCCAGUGGUAGUGGUUUGUUCCAGGUUUACUCCUCCCCUCACCCUUUCCUCACUUGUAUCCCAUUGGUUGUGGCCCCCUUCCUCUGACCCUUUCCCCUGAGCUUAAAUCUCCUGGGAGGAGACCCCCAAGUUCUCUUUUUCUCCUGGGACACCACCUCCUUCCCAUCUCGGAUCCCCUGGAGUAAUUCCACAAUAAAGCUGUGUGAUUUUUGGUCCCGGGAUGAGAAGAGUGCCUCCAGUCUUUUACUUUUGUCCUUCUAAGGCUGGAAGGGGCCAGGGUCCAGAGCUAGUCAGAUCGGACCCGAAUGGCCCUGGGAGAGAUCAGCCAUUUACAGCUGGACCCCCAACGUGUUCAUCUCCCAAGAGGUCUGAGACGUCACGCUGCAGCUGGUAAUCCACAUGUGGAUUACGUUAGCUUUUGGGACUGUCAGGUACCUCGGACUUGCAGUCGCUUUUUGGAUGGUGGAGAGACACGAGGGUGGAACCAACAAUUAGUUCCAGCCCUGAAUUAACCUGUCUCAGGAAAGAGGACUUCCUUACAUCGUUCCAGCCAACCCAGGUCCCCAGAAAGGGGUCUACCCAGUGGACAGUCAUUGGAGUGGACCUGCCGGAGGAGUCACAGGACUUGCCGUUAGAUUGCACAGGAUUGGACAAGAAGGAAAUCUACCUCCCACUCUACCUCACGUUGAGCCCUAUCCGAGUUGUCAUCCUAUUCGCACUGAGCAGUCUGACAGCUGCGUGGAUCGUCCCUCAGCCAUGCCAGAACAUCUGGGUGACCCUAGCACAGACGCUCCAACAGGAAAAUAUAUGCCUGUCCACUGCAGCAGCGAAAGACCCUAUGUCUACCUGCCUAGUAGGGAUUCCAUUGCAAGCUGAAUAUUUUCCAGCCAAGUUUGAAACACCUAUGCCUGACCCAGGUCCCAAAUCACAUCACAUACAACCACACAAUACCCAUCAGCGGCGAGCUGUAAUGAUCAAGAACCCCGUAGAGGAGUGGCUGCCAAAGUUGCCCAGAGCAGCUCAGGAGCCCCAAGAGUUACAGCUGUUGGGUUCCUCCCCAGCACCAUACUGCAUACACUUUACCCCACUUUCCAACAUAAACCUUUUAACAACAGACUGCAAUACCGAGAAGAGUUCACUGCCAAAAGGUGGUGUAAGGUUUUAAGCCAUAUCACAGCAGAUAACCUGUACCAUUCCCAUCCCAAAAGCCUCCCUAAAGGUUUGUUUAUAAUUUGUGGGGACCGGGCAUGAGCAGGAAUCCCUUCUCAGCUUUUAGGAAGGCCAUGUACCAACAGAUGGUUGUCCCUGUUGGUACCCAACCAAACCAUGACUGGCGAAUGGACUCGAAAGAACAAUUCGGUCAGCAAAAUUCAAAAGAGAAGCAUUGACGAUUUGGACCCAAAUUGCGAUCCAGACAUUUUUCAUUGGGCCAAGUCAAAGCAAAUCACUGUAUCCCUGUUCUAUCCAUGGGUUGCAGCAGCCAAAGCUCUAGGUGAAUUGGGCCACCUAGAGUGCUGGGUGGUCAAACAGGCAAACUUUGACAUCUGCCGCCAUCAGCUCCCUCCUAGAGGACGAGGAGAGUACCAGGCAGGCCACACUCCAAAAUCGUGUGGCCAUAGAUUUCCUCCUGCUGCUGCAUGGACAUGAGUGCCAGGAAUUCGAAGAACUUUGCUGCUUGAACCUAACAUCAAAAGCACUGAAUGUCCAUGUGGCUCUCCAAGAAGUGAAAAGCCUGAUUGGACAAGUCAAGCAAGAAUCUAAGGACUGGUUCAGCAGACUGUUCAAGGACUGGGGACUCUUGGGGUGGUGGACUUCAAUAAUUAAGACUAUUCUGUUGUUUUUUGUUGUUCUUUUUCUAAUCAUGUUAGCAUUCAGAAUUCUAUGUUGCAUAUUUUUAAAAGCCAUCGAUGGUUUUAUCUCCACUACUUCAAAAGUCAACCACACAGAGUUUGUGGACCUAAAGCAAACUGACAGGCCCGCAAAUCAUGAGUAGUGGACGAAUUCAUAAUCUGUACCAGAAUAGGCCAAUGCUUUUCUUUUAUUUUUUCUUAACAGAAAAGGGGGAGGUGUUGUAUCGUACUAAAUAGUUUAUUUAGUUGUUGUUUUUUCACUGAUCACAUGGUCUUCCACCUCCCCCCCCCCCCCCAAGCCCCAGUGGUAGUGGUUUGUUCCAGGUUUACUCCUCCCCUCACCCUUUCCUCACUUGUAUCCCAUUGGUUGUGGCCCCCUUCCUCUGACCCUUUCCCCUGAGCUUAAAUCUCCUGGGAGGAGACCCCCAAGUUCUCUUUUUCUCCUGGGACACCACCUCCUUCCCAUCUCGGAUCCCCUGGAGUAAUUCCACAAUAAAGCUGUGUGAUUUUUGGUCCCGA